rnacentral:misc_RNA from 1 species
GAUGAAGAACGUAGUGAAAUGCGAUAAGUAAUGUGAAUUGCAGAAUUCAGUGAAUCAUCGAAUCUUUGAACGCACAUUGCGCCCAUUAGUAUUCUAGUGGGCAUGCCUGUUCGAGCGUCAUUUCAACCCUUAAGCCUAGCUUAGUAUUGGGAAUCGACUUUACUGUCGUUCCUCAAUUCAACGGCGGAUUUAUAGCAAUCUCUGAACGUAGUAAUUUUUUUUCUCGUUUUUGAAAUACUAUAAACCUCAGCCGCUAAACCCCCAAUUUCUUAUGGUUGACCUCGGAUCAGGUAGGAAUACCCGCUGAACUUAAGCAUAUCAAUAAGCGGAGGA